rnacentral:rRNA from 1 species
AACGCGAAGAACCUUACCAGCUCUUGACAUGGGACGUUUGGCCCCGAGAGAUCGGGGUCGUCAGUUCGGCUGGCGUCCACACAGGUGCUGCAUGGCUGUCGUCAGCUCGUGUCGUGAGAUGUUGGGUUAAGUCCCGCAACGAGCGCAACCCUCACCUUCAGUUGCCAUCAGGUUAUGCUGGGCACUCUGAAGGAACUGCCGGUGACAAGCCGGAGGAAGGCGGGGAUGACGUCAAGUCCUCAUGGCCUUUAUGGGCUGGGCUACACACGUGCUACAAUGGCGGUGACAGAGGGAAGCAAAGAGGCAACUCUAAGCCAAUCUCAAAAAGCCGUCUCAGUUCGGAUUGUUCUCUGCAACUCGAGAGCAUGAAGCUGGAAUCGCUAGUAAUCGCGGAUCAGCACGCCGCGGUGAAUACGUUCCCGGGCCUUGUA